CUCCCCGGGAAAGCCCUGACGGCGCGGGAUGGGGUCGCGGCCCAUUAGGUAGACGGCGGGGUAACGGCCCACCGUGCCCGCGAUGGGUAGCCGGACUGAGAGGUCGACCGGCCACAUUGGGACUGAGAUACGGCCCAGACUCCUACGGGAGGCAGCAGUGGGGAAUUUUGCGCAAUGGGGGGAACCCUGACGCAGCAACGCCGCGUGCGGGACGAAGGCCUUCGGGUUGUAAACCGCUUUCAGCAGGGAAGACAUAGACGGUACCUGCAGAAGAAGCUCCGGCUAACUACGUGCCAGCAGCCGCGGUAAUACGUAGGGGGCGAGCGUUAUCCGGAUUCAUUGGGCGUAAAGCGCGCGUAGGCGGCCGCCUAAGCGGAACCUCUAAUCCCGGGGCUCAACCUCGGGCCGGGUUCCGGACUGGGCGGCUCGAGUGCGGUAGAGGCAGGCGGAAUUCCCGGUGUAGCGGUGGAAUGCGCAGAUAUCGGGAAGAACACCGAUGGCGAAGGCAGCCUGCUGGGCCGCCACUGACGCUGAGGCGCGAAAGCUGGGGGAGCGAACAGGAUUAGAUACCCUGGUAGUCCCAGCCGUAACCCCCCCUAGAGGAGGUGUGGGGGGCCCAUCCCCCCGUGCCGCAGCCAACGCAUUAAGCGUCCCGCCUGGGGAGUACGGCCGCAAGGCUAAAACUCAAAGGAAUUGACGGGGGCCCGCACAAGCAGCGGAGCAUGUGGCUUAAUUCGAAGCAACGCGAAGAACCUUACCAGGGCUUGACAUGCGAGUGAAGCCGCGGAGACGCGGUGGCCGAGAGGAGCUCGCGCAGGUGGUGCAUGGCUGUCGUCAGCUCGUGUCGUGAGAUGUUGGGUUAAGUCCCGCAACGAGCGCAACCCCCGUCCCGUGUUGCCAGCAUUCAGUUGGGGACUCGCGGGAGACUGCCGGCGUCAAGCCGGAGGAAGGUGGGGAGGACGUCAAGUCAUCAUGCCCCCUAUGCCCUGGGCUGCACACGUGCUACAAUGGCCGGUACAGAGGGUUGCCACCCCGCGAGGGGGAGCGGAUCCCGGAAAGCCGGUCCCAGUUCGGAUCGCAGGCUGCAACCCGCCUGCGUGAAGUCGGAGUUGCUAGUAAUCGCGGAUCAGCAUGCCGCGGUGAAUAAAAUCCCGGGCCUUGCACA
rnacentral:rRNA from 1 species